rnacentral:pre_miRNA from 1 species
GUAUAUCUCAGAGUUCUUGUGAUGCCUUCUAGAAUUGAUCGGACAACUAGAUCCAUUGGAAGAAGUGGAUGGUUAUUGUGCGGAAUAACCAUCGACUUCUUACAAUGCCUUUAGUUGUCCGAUGAAUUUUGUAAGGCAUCACAAGAACUCUGAGAACUGUGGUUAUUAUGC